rfam:Capsicum annuum cultivar Zunla-1 chromosome 1, whole genome shotgun sequence
GUCCCUUCGGGGACAUCCGAUAAAAUUGAAACGAUACAGUGAAGAUUAGCAUGACCCCGGUGGAAGGAUGAUACGGACAAAUUGAGAAAUGGUCUAAAUUUUU